CAGGAGUUUCGUUCUCGAGCCGUUUUCCGUCUGCGUCCUGCGCGCCACCAGACGUCCUCCUAUCGCCAGCUGAAGCAGGAGUGCGUGGAGUUGGGUUCGCGAGCCGUUUUCCGCGUGAGUCCCGGUGCCACCAGACGUCCUCGUAUCGCCAGCUGAAGCAGGGCAGAGCUUCACACAGACAGCGCACUUCAGGAGCCUGGAAGCAAUCCGCAGUGCUCCAUUGGCCAGCGUCGGCUCAUCGACAUCCAAAG